CAAGCGGAACUCAUAAAGUCUGUCGUAGUCCGGAUUGGAGUCUGCAACUCGACUCCAUGAAGUCGGAAUCGCUAGUAAUCGUGGAUCAGAAUGCCACGGUGAAUACGUUCCCGGGCCUUGUACACACCGCCCGUCACACCAUGGGAGUGGGUUGCAAAAGAAGUAGGUAGCUUAACCUUCGGGAGGGCGCUUACCACUUUGUGAUUCAUGACUGGGGUGAAGUCGUAACAAGGUAACCGUAGGGGAACCUGCGGUUGGAUCACCUCCUUACCUUAAAGAAGC
rnacentral:rRNA from 1 species